UAGGGAACCUUCCACAAUGGACGAAAGUCUGAUGGAGCAACGCCGCGUGAGUGAAGAAGGGUUUCGGCUCGUAAAACUCUGUUGUUAAAGAAGAACAUAUCUGAGAGUAACUGUGCAGGUAUUGACGGUAUUUAACCAGAAAGCCACGGCUAACUACGUGCCAG
rnacentral:rRNA from 1 species